AGCUUUGCGUAGUGGCAGUAUCGUAGCCAAUGAGGUUUAUCCAAGGCGUGAUUAUUGCUAAUGCUCUUUGGUUGCUCUCUUAAAAUUCUUAAUAAUUUUAUCUUUGAAUUUAUAUUUUAUAAGUGAA
rnacentral:snRNA from 1 species